GGUUAGGGUGUAGGUUAGGACUAGGAGUGUUUGUUUUCAUCGUGUAGACGGAUGUUAAUUUCAUAUCAGUCAGAGCAACAUCAAGCAAAAACUACACAGCGUUUCACACCAUUUCACUUUCCUCAGCGCUGUGAUGUACUGUAUAAUUGAUUAUGAUGAUUACAAUUGCACAAAAACACCACUAAUCUUUUUUUACGACUUGUCUGAAGUGUUUAUGACGCAGAGUGAAGACUGAUGACCUGUACAGUAGAUCGUUGCUCGCCAAACAUUUCAAGGACUGCAACCAUGUAUAGCUGGUCCUAACAUGAACAGCAGUUCUGGACAUAAAGCUUUCCCAUUGCUUAAAAAUUCUGUGUUGUUUCAGCUGAAACCUAAAGGUUUUUAUUGUUUAAAUGGCCAUGUUUUACAGCAUUAAAAUCUCGUUGGAAACAAAGAACAGAUUCUCAAAGGCCAGUAAUUAUUUAAAGACACUCAAACACUCACACAUAAUGAUUAAUAAACGGACAAUCCUCUGUGCUACCAUAUUCAGAAUGCAUGACAGAUACACCCAAACACACAUUGUUUGUGCCAAGUCUGCGCUAUUAGACUGCAGCUCUGACUACUGGACUAAGACACAUCCUUAAUUUCUCUUUGCUACAUGCAGAUAAAGCCUUUUUGAUUCCCCACACAACAACACAACACUGGAUGGAUAGCAGGUGCACUGUAAAGAUGCAAAUGCAUAAAGAUAUGUCAUGUGUCAUGUACAUGUGUCGCAUCGACUAACAGGGUGAUUAUUACUGGAUGCGGUGCAUUAGAAUGCUAGAAAAGUAUGUGUGCAGAUUCAAAGAGAUGUGAUAGAGAUUAAAUAUAAGGAUAUAUAUAUAUAUAUUUCUGAUGCAUGUAUUAAUAAUUAUAAUGUAAAAGAUGAUCACAAAUUGUGGUUGGGGUGUAACAUCACCCUGAAAAGGUUAAAAAAUGGCUUUUAAAAAUCUGAAAGAUAAUUACUGUAGUGGACAUCAUGCAUCAGAGGGUUGCUAUGAAUACAAACUACAUACUUUAACUACUAAAUAGUGAUAUAGACAAAAAGCUAUCUAUUUAAACCAUUUAUUAAAAGUACUAUGUGAUGACAAUAAAAAAAUGUAAAUAAAUAAAUAAGAGUGCAUCCAUGUAGCCUGCUGAAAUGCUAGUGGUCUUCAUUCUCAGGCAGGUGCAUCUUGAGCCAGACUGGAAUGCUGAUGGAUGGUUGAUGGAUGGUUGGAUGAGAGGGUGGAGGAGAUUUUUUAAGGGCCCAUGUCCCUGGUGCUCUGGUGGAGCACAGGCCAUAACAAUUCAGGCUAAUAGAUGAAGACACUCAACAAAACAGAUCUGAACAAAACACAACCCUCCCUACACAAAACUCUCCUAGAACAGAAGACAAAUAGAUGAGCGGGUUACCAUAAGCUGCCGGAUUCAGUCUGUAACCAGACCAGAUGGUGGAUGACCACAACAGCCCUGAAUUUCAACAGAGACCAUGACAACUAGACAAGCUUUAUGACAGAUCACCUGCGAAAACCUUAUAGACUA